rnacentral:rRNA from 1 species
GCCAUGCCGCGUGCAGGAAGACGGCCCUAUGGGGUUGUAAACUGCUUUUAUACGGGAAGAAUAAGGACUACGUGUAGUCCGAUGACGGUACCGUAAGAAUAAGCACCGGCUAACUCCGUGCCAGCAACGGCGGUGACUGAGCGGGCUGGCAAGGCGCAUA